UUUAGUUGUAGGUGGCGAGGGACUAAGGAAUAACAUGAGGGAGAUUAAAUAUCUAGCACUGGAUUUAAAUUGUGGCGCCGCUAAUCAUCUUUGUCCGUCACCGUUAGGCUCGUAACCUUUUUGAAUUAUAUAUGUGUACAUUUAUAUUCAUAUGUUCAUUUAAUUUAAAUAUAUUAAUUAAUUCCAUUAAACAAUCGUAAAAUUUUUUUACUAUUUUUUUUUUUAAUGACACGGGUGUAAUUUUAGUGGCCAUGGGUUUUAAAAAUUAUUAAAAAAUUGGUGUAUGUUUUUUUUGUUGUUUUGAUAGAUAUAUAUUUUUUUUCCUCAUAUACCCUUGAGAGAGUUUUUCUAUCUUUCACGUAUGGUGAGUGAAUAAUUUUCUCGCGCUACUGUAAGAUAAAGCGAUACGAGUAUAUAGGAGAGUUCAGGCCAAGACUCGAGGGAACAAGCGACGAACUAAGUGAGCGAGUAUGAUUGAUGCAACAACUAGACUGUAGAUAUUAAAGUUUCAAAGCCUAAGAAAUCACUUCCCGACUAUAAUUUUUCAUAAGGACCUGACAAGGUCCUUACCAGGAUUAUUUUCUCAGGCCCUUACAUGGAUAUCCUCAUCAAAUCUUUAUCAGGGUUCGGACUAUUUUUGGAGGGAAAUAUUGAAUAAGUGUGUGGGAUUUUUUAAAUUAAUGAG